rnacentral:lncRNA from 10 species
CUAGGCCAGCACAGAACAAAGCUCUUUAUUCAGAAGUAACUUUCCUGAACAGCAAAUCCUUCGCAUACCUAUGAAGUGCUCAGUAAUGUUUGAAAAAUAGACCUAAGCUGAAGCACUCCCUGACUCUACAUGGAGCUUUCCUCAAACAUCUCACCCACAAGGCAGCAUUAUAAGAACAAUACAAAUAGUAACAGGUACUAUUUGUUCACACCAACUAUGUAAUAAGUUAAACAUGCUAAUCACUUUGCAUCCAUCACUUCAUCUAAUCCCUACAACAAAUUUAUGAAGACUAUACUAUCAUUAUUCCCAUUUCACAUAGGAGGCAACUGAGGCUCAGAUAUGUCAUUUGACCAAAGGCAAACCACAAAUAGUAAGUAACAGAAAUGAACUUCCAACCAGAUUUCUCUAAUUGCAAUAACUGUGCUCUUAACCACAGAUGAGGUUUUAAUGUUCCUAUCUCCCCUUCAUGUCAGAAAAAGAAAUACAAUCACAAAGUGGCUAACAAACAGUUAAAAGGAUGGCUGACAGUCCCAGGUUCCCUUGCAUUUGAAAAACCCAGGUUAUUAAAUCUGCCUUUUGUAAGUGGGAAUUCCACAGGACAUCCAAAGCCAUGGGUCUCAAUUAAUGUGCGCUCACAAAAAAGCAUCCAUGUCCGCAGCCCUCAUUGAUGGUAUAUUUAUCAUGGUUAUGAGGUUUAGACUUACACAACUCACUCUGGCUUAAUAGUUUCUACUUUUUGCCUAUUGCUAAUGAAGCAAGAUUGUCCCCAUUCCACUCUGGAGACAGAAAUCCCUGCAGAAGAGAGACACUCACUGAGCUUCUGGCUGCAUGCCUUUGAAAAUGAAUGGACUUUGUAGCUGGCCUUUGAAAGGUCUUGUAGAGAGGCCCCAGGCAGACACUGCCAGAGUAUCUGUCUGACCAUAUCCAUUGGAUCCCUGAAGGCUUCCCUUCUUGAGAAUUCUCUUUUAAAAUGCAAAAGUCUUCAUUACUGCCAAACAGAAUGCUGAACCCUGCUGGUUCCCGCAGAGUUCCAGACUUGGCACCCGGCCAUUGGAUUCACAGCACCUGCCAGAGCCUCUUCCAUCCAACCAUAUUCCUGGCCAGGCUCCCUGGCCGACCCAGGCCUGUUGCUGCCCAACCAGGACCUGGCAGGACUUGCUCCCUCAUUAUACGUGCUCUCUCCACUGGCUCACUUCCUUCGGCCUUCAAAUCCUUAUUUUAUUUUUAAAUUUUUUAGCUUUAAGACUGUGUUGCCUUCUUUAAUUAAGUUCUUUCCUUUUCUUCAACCAUCAUUAUUCUCGUUUUCUGUCAUCUGUUUUUGGUCUCUUACUUUCACGGUGCCUGCUUCAUAGCUACCUAAAUUCCAUUACAUGCCAUCUGGCUAUUUGCCACCGCCGCUUUAGUCAUUAAACAGAAGGG